UAGAUAAGUGCACAUAUAAUAUAUAUACAUAUUUGUAUAGGUUUAAGUAUUCUUGUAUUUACAUGCGUAAAUCAACAUUUCCGUUUUUAAUUAAUUUUUAUUUUUAAAAUUAUACAUAUUAAUAUAAUAUUUAAUUAAAAGUAAAUUUUUUGUAUAUUGUUUACAUUAUUUUUGAAUAAUCUUAUUACUAAGUUUUAAUUUUUAAUACACAGAAUUAUAAUUUUAAGUUUAUUACAAAAUGAAUAACUAUUUUUUGUUUUUAACUUUUUUUUGUUUAUUUAUAAAUACUUUACUCCAAACUGUUGUUUGUGAGAAAUCCGAAAUUUUACCUAUAGGUAAUAUUCUGUCUGGCAUUUCUGAUAUUGUUAAUGUUGUGACACCUACAAAAACAAAUACAGUUGAAUUGGCUGGUAAUAAUGCUCCAAGAAUUAACUUAAAAGUUGUCCCAUCAACAAAACUUCGUAUUACUAAAAGUGAUUUUACGUUUUUAUUAUCGGAACUGAAACAAGAAAUUAGAAGACAAAUUAACAUUUUGGAAGAUGAACUAGAAGAGAAAGAAAGGAUGAGACAAAGGAUGGCAUCAUUAAUGCCAUUUAACCAGUCUACUGCUUAUAAUCCAAAAAUAAACGGUAUAACAUAAUAUUGUAACACAUUCCCCAUUUAUUUAAUUAUU
rnacentral:lncRNA from 1 species